AUUUUUGUCUGACGUCAUAUGUGUAUUAGCCGCCCAAUACAAAAAAAAAAGAUCAAGUGUAGUAUCUGUUCUUCUCAGUUUAAUACCUGGGACGGAAACGAUUCGUUCCCUCUAUGUAUUAAUCGGAUUUUUGAACUUGGAGUAUGGUGCUGGAGCUUGCUCCACCCUGCUCACGGGUUGUCCUGGUAUUGCAGUACCUCCAGGUUCGGCUCACGUUUC
rfam:Ciona savignyi cont_37625, whole genome shotgun sequence.